rnacentral:rRNA from 1 species
CCUACGGGUGGCAGCAGUGAGGAAUAUUGGUCAAUGGACGAGAGUCUGAACCAGCCAAGUAGCGUGAAGGAUGACUGCCCUAUGGGUUGUAAACUUCUUUUAUAAAGGAAUAAAACGAGGCACGUGUGCCUUUUUGCAUGUACUUUAUGAAUAAGGAUCGGCUAACUCCGUGCCCGCAGCCGCGGUAAUACGGAGGAUCCGAGCGUUAUCCGGAUUUAUUGGGGUUAAAGGGAGCGUAGGUGGGUUGUUAAGUCAGUUGUGAAAGUUUGCGGCUCAACCGUGAAAUUGCAAUUGAUACUGGCAGUCUUGAGUACAGUUGAGGUAGGCGGAAUUCGUGGUGUAGCGGUGAAAUGCUUAGAUAUCACGAAGAACCCCGAUUGCGAAGGCAGCUUACUAAACUAUGACUGACAUUGAUGCUCGAAAGUGUGGGUAGCAAACAGGAUUAGAUACCCCAGUAGUC